rnacentral:rRNA from 1 species
AACAUCGCCUCUUGAAAUACCUAUAAGAGGUCCAGCCUGCCCAGUGACUCUGUUCAACGGCCGCGGUAUCCUAACCGUGCGAAGGUAGCGUAAUCACUUGUUCUUUAAAUGGGGACUUGUAUGAAUGGCACCACGAGGGUUAUACUGUCUCCUUUUUCUAAUCAGUGAAACUAAUCUUCCCGUGAAGAAGCGGGAAUAAAAAUAUAAGACGAGAAGACCCUAUGGAGCUUUAAACUUAAUAACAAGUACUAUUAACCCCUCAACUUUCAGAAUAUAAAUUUUUAUUUUAGUACUAUGAUUAUUAGUUUUAGGUUGGGGUGACCGCGGAGUAUAAACUAACCUCCACAUUGAACGGGACACAUCCCUGAGCCAAGAGCUACGACUCUAAGCACCAAUAAAUUGACAUUAAUUGACCCAUUUUUAUGAUCAACGAACCAAGUUACCCUAGGGAUAACAGCGCAAUCCACUUCAAGAGCUCAUAUCGACAAGUGGGUUUACGACCUCGAUGUUGGAUCAGGGUAUCCCAGUGGUGCAGCCGCUACUAACGGUUCGUUUGUUCAACGAUUAAAACCCUACGU